CAAGAAAGUUUUAAAGAAAAAAGUCUAAACAAAUUGAGUAUUUGAAUAAAACUCAAAGCAAAAUUACUUAUACUGAUAAUGUUUUCUCUUGAAAGAAUGAACAACUGUAACUUUAGUUUCAAACAAUAAGAAUAGUGGAUGAUUCCUGUUUUCUUGUCAGAAGAACACCUAUAAUUACUCACAUGAUGAUUAUAAUAAAAGUAACUAAUAAAGCAUGGUUAACAUAAUAUUAUAAAUGACUGCUAAAUCAGAAGCUAGAGAGGUUAUAGAUGUGAUUUUGAUAAUGAACUUUAAAUGAUGUAAAAUGUGUAACUGAAAUUAGAGAUCACUGAUGUUGUGUUGGAGGUAGAUAGUAGGUGAAGGUAUUAGGGAAAAUAGGAAAUAAAAGAAGAGCAGAGAUGACCAACACCUCAGAGUUAGCUGAUUUGGAUUUUGAUUGUUGCAACUCAAACUGUUGAAAGAAAAAGGUGGAAAACAUUUCAUAGAUUGCUUUUAGUCCAAAACUAUAUGUAAAACAGCACCCUUGGGACUCGCCGAAGUCACUAAACCCAACCUGAUUCAGUAACAAGUGCAGGUUGUAACAAAGAGAAAGAAUGACAGUUAACAUGUGUGGUCUGUGAAACUAGCUGUCUGCAGGCUGCUCAGUCUGACUAACUCACAGGGGGACAAAAGGUGAGGCACCUGGAUGGAGUUCUGGAAAGGGAAGUAUCCAGCAGAUUUUGAUUUGUGAUUGGUUUUAAGAAACCUUUAAGACACACCCUAACAUGUUGCACCUAAUUAAAUGGAAAUAGUAAAACUGGGUGCAGAUAAUUUUUUUGGGAGAACAAUCAAAAGCUCAUACAUUUAGCUUUUAUAACUGUUGGUAAAUAAGGAUUAAAUAAAUGUUGAUCUAACCUUUAUCUGGUUUUUGUGACUUUUUUGUACAAUUGUAGUGUUUAUUUUAACACUACCCUAACCCAUUGAUGGUGCAAUAAUACUCCCCCAACCAAAUAACACCAACAACAACAAAAUCCUAGAUAAAAGGGA